CAAAUAAUUUAAAUAAAAAUCUACAUGAAAAGAGUAUCCAACGACAUAUGUCGAGCGUCAAUUAAUUUUGGAUCAUCGUGUCAGCGCAAUCUUAUGUGAGGCAGCAGGGUCGACGACACGUUUUACGGCUUGAAUACCAGCCACAAUGGUCCCGUUGUGGAAAUCGAUCGCCUCGUUGUUCGUACAGACAUGGAAAGAGAUAGGGGUGAGGCGAGGCAGGAGCGUUAAAGGCAAAUCAGGGGCUUCGUAGAUGAUCACUAUAGAUGGGAUGAAAUAUUAAGCACAGCGCGGGAGGCAUAACGCCGAGGAGAGCAGAGUAACGGCUGCGUGGCCGAGGCUGUAGAAGUUUUAUUAAAAAUCUGCGUUGAAGGAUGAUGGAUAUCUCCGAAGGAGAGUGGCGAGGAGAGGCCUCGGCCUUAUGCUCGGACGGCCGGUAAGAAAGUAGGAGGAAGAAAAAGCAGAUGAAGUAGACGACGAAAGCCGUUAAGGACAGAAACAGAUGAAACUGUACGGAUCUCGCACGGUUGAUGAAGCAAAAGGGAGUAUUAUUAUGAUUUACGAGAGAAAGGAUUAAAGAUGAAAGCAAAAAAGAAGAUUACACGCUUGACGAUAGGCACAGGCUGAAAGAAACACAACCAAGAAGAUUUUAGGACGAGAAAAGAGAAGAGGAAAAAGAGAAGAGGAAAAAGAAAGAGGAAAAAGAAGGAGGAAGCCGUUAGAGGAGCGACGUGACCAAAACUAUAGCAGGAUGAAAGAAGAUCGGAAAAAGAGGUCCCUUCAAUAUAAUAAAAUAUAAUAAAAGAGACAUUACAGGAUUGUGGCUUAUUUGGUCUAGAAAAUUUAAGAGACUGAAAGCAUUUUAAGAUUGGAUGAAAGACAAGCGUCCUGGUAGCCAUAGAUCGCGUCACGUCCAAAAUAUGAUGGAA